AAGAGAAGAAAGGAGCUGUUAUUGCCAGGAGGCAAGAAGUAGGCCUUUGUCACCUCAAAUUAGGGCUUUAGGGUUUUGUUUAUGAAAACCCCUGAUCUUCCUCUCCUGGACUUUUCUGCAAGCAACUUCUGGUGCUUAUUUGCUUUAUCUCCACAAUCAGGACCUCCAAGACAUAAGCUGACUUCCCAGCAUCAGCAUCACUGUUGUCGUCAUUCAUUUGUGUGCCACCUUUCAGUAGUUAAACGGUGCUCAAAGCAGCUUACAACCUCAAAAAUUUCCCAUGCCAUUUUUUGACUCGCACCCACAGCACUCUCUGAAAAUUCAAAAUGUUCCCACUGGUCCAGAAAGUUUGGCGACCCUUCGUAAGACCAAAGGCCCAUCUAUUCCAGCAUUCUGUUCUCACUGUGGCCAACGAAAAGGCUUUUGGAAGCACAGCCUGGGCUCCGCAACAUCCAACUCACCCCAGCCUGGCAGAAAGCAAAAAGAUUGUUCUUUAAUCCCUUUGGAGUUGUUGAGUCAAGUCCUCCUGCCGGUAGCACUAAUGAAAAAUAUCCUGGCAUGAUGUGCCAAGAAAUCCUGAGAUACCCUCCUUUCUUCCCCCAUAGCGGUUUCUUCUUGUGACAGCUGAUAUCCUAAAGACAAUUGGAAGAAAGAAGCGAAGAUCGCGAUUCUGACAACUAUAUGAAUUCCAGUAGCUGCAAGCCAUGGUAUAAUGCAGUGCAGAAAUUCAGGGAAGUGUGUGUAGGGAGGGCAUUCUUAUAAUCUUCCAUCUGAUCUAAUUAUUGCAUUCCCGACGGAAGAAUUGGGGGAGUGGAUAACUGUGUUGUAUUUCUCCUUAUUAAAGUGAAGGGAGAGUUUUCAUUCUCAACAAAAUGGCUCCAGAUAUGGGUAGCACUAGUUAAAAAUGGAUCAGCUCUUGAUUGCAAAAAUUGGUAUAUUAAUUAUUUUAUCAUCAUUGUGUAAUCCCAGAACACAGAACAAGCACACUGCACUUAAAGGGCAGAAUUUUACUGAGACCAAAGAAUAUUAGAAAUGCUAUAAAAAGGAAUAACUUGAAAGUUGUUUUCAAGUGAGGAUUAAACAUAAAAGGUUACAAGGAUUUUAAAGCUUUUAUUAAUAUUUGGAAUUCUAAUUACUCAAUAUUAUGUACUCAGAUCUGUGGAUUCUUGCACACUUCCUUUCCAUUUUUUAAAGGAUGUUUUCCCAGAGCGUGAAUUCAGACCUGAAUUGAGUGCUUAUAACUAACCUUUACAUUUGGCUGAUCUGAAUAUCCAAAGUUCAGAUAAAAAGAGCUUUCUGAUUUUGAGAGACCUGCAAACAAGUUUUCUAAAUACUUGUUAAAUACAAUCAUAUGAGAAUAAAAAAAUGACUUAAGCUGCAAUCCUAUAUAUACUUAACUAGAAAUAAGUCCCAUUGAACUCAGUGGGGUUUACCUCUGAGUAGACAUGUAUAGUAUUGCACUAUAAUCCUGUCUGAAGUGGCAUUGGAGUCUUUCUGGAAGAUGCUCAAGAUCAAGCAUGAAUUAAUCAAUCUGAAAGGGAAGGGAAUUCAAUAACAGCCAUACACUCACAAAACAAAUAUUGCUAUGGGUUGGCAUGAACAUUAAAAUUCUCUAUAUCAGAGUUGCCCAAAGCAACCUCCCUAUAGCAAAUGCUAUUUUACAAUUACUAGAAACACUUGUUCACAUGUAUUACUUACUACCAUUACAUUGUCCAUGUUUGGAAUACUUCUUCCCAGCUUCAAAACCAUGGUUUAUGAAGCCAGGAAUGACAGUCCAUCGCACACCCCAUCCUUGCCCCUCCUCUUGCAUUCCUGGGUGGAAUUAAACCAGUGUUUCCCAUUCUGUCUGAAACAGAGAACUCUGGUUUAAUGUUAAUUAACUAACCAGAAUAAUACCAGAGUUCCCUGGUUAAAAUGGAAGGUGAAUGAAGGGAGAAUGGAGGAGUACAUCGGCCCAUUGCUUAAUCCUGGAUUCAUAUAUCAUGGUUUAUGAAGGCAGGAAGAAUAUCCAAAUGCAGCCAAUAUGAGUCUCCAAAAUGGCUUCUAGGAAUGUGGAAUGAAAAUUCUAAAGUUCACUAGAGCUGGUGAGAGUUGUCGUCAAAAUAUCUGGAGAGCACCAGGUUGGCAAUGGUGAUAGCUGCUGUGGGAAUUAUUGGCAAUGGGAAGAUCCCAGUGGUGAAUAUUUUGUGUGCUCUGACCCUAAGAGUCCUUCACACUUGAAUUUGGUGCACAGUUGGAAUGGUUGGACAGAACUCUCAAUCUUGGGCUGGAAUUACAUAUUCAGAGAACAUACGUUUCUCUCUCUGCCAACCAGUUGCACUGCAACGGGGUGAAGAGAUAUUUGCAGUGGAGAAAUGGCAGAUUAAAAUUUUGCCUUGCAUUUCCUCUGUUUGCCACAUUGUAGCAAAAAGCCACUGGAGGAAGCAGCUAUAAGAGAAAAGUGGCAGGGGCAAGAAAGACAAAAACAAACCCAUCCUGCUCACAUCAUCAUCAUAAUCCAAACUUAAAACCAGAUUAUACAGAAGUUAAGGAUCAACAAUCACAGAAUAUACACCCAGAAAAGUAAACAAGAAAUACUCUACAGUAAAGAAAGUAAAAUGUAUGAUGGACAUUAUUCUGAUAAUUAUUCUUCCAAAAUAUUGCAAAUUAAAAUCCAUCAUUCAAUAAACUUAUUUUUGUAGUUGCCAUUAAUUGAUCUUUUAUACUAGAUUAAUUUUGAUGUUCCAUAUUCUACCAUACCAUUCAGUUAUCGAUGGAAAUAUUCUUCCAUUUUGUGUUAAGCACAGUUUGGCAGCUGUAAGUAAAUCUGCAACUACUUGAUUGAUGUCAUUAACCAAGUCCUUAAGAUAACAUAAUAUUAUUUUGGGAUUCUGUGUUAUUGAACAGCUGGACAUUUCAUUAAUCAGAUCCAGAAAAUUAGUACAAAAAGACUGCAUUACUGGAUAAUCUUUCAAACCAGCUAAUAUUAGCUUAGUAUAUUCCUUUAUGUACAAUCCCAUUCCUUCAGAUGGAUUUCUUGUCCCAAGCCCCUUGUCCAUUUCUUCAUAAAAUGCCCAGAACCUAUUUGCUUCAUAUGACUCCUGGCCACUUGGCUGAAGACCCAGGGGUCUAGGAUUAGGCCUGAGCUGUAGAAAUAUCAUUUGGUUAUAGUACUAGAGAACGUGGCUCCUUCUCUAUCCAGGCCCCAAGUUCUUUAAAGACUUUACAGAUCAGGCUGGCACUAGGAAUUGUACCUAUUUUCAAUAGGCUUAAGCACACCGAACUCUCCUGUAUCAUAGGCACAAUUCUGAGCCAUCCAAUUUCUGAAUAAUGAAGAGAACUGCAUUAGAUAUAAUCCAUUUAGAAAAUGGCAGCAAAUAAAAUGGAACAGUGUGCCUUUUAAAGUCUAAAUUAAAAGUUCUUUUUCUUAAUAAUGCUCUUUAAUUGAAAAAAAAAUAAAGCUAUUGCUUUUUGAGAUGCCAAUUAAGCAGCUCAAAAUUGUCACUUUGUUUUCAGUUUUCCCUGCUAAAUGGAUUAUGAGAAAAUUAAUAGACCCCCCCCCCACUGAAGAUUUACUUCACCAAACACCACUAUAGUUUGCGCUGUGUUGGAAUUAUAAGAUUCCUGAUACACUGUUAACCAAGAUGCUGAAUUUAUAUAGUUUAAUAGAUUAAUAUGAGGACAUCUAUUUCAGUAAUCACAUCUCUCUUGCCUAAUGAUUCUUCAAGAUUAGAUGGUAUCCUUUUCCCCCCCUAAUGCAGGAAUGCUUUGAGGAAUUCAUUGUAGGAGAUUUUGGAAGUUAAUGUUUUGUCAUAAUAUUCCAAGAUGUGAAAGAACUCCUCUUCAGAUAGGUUGAUGCCAUAUUUGCGGAGCACCUGCAGAACACACAGAAAUUUGACAUUACGUAUUUUUAAUUGGGAACCAUCCAGGAAACCAACCAGCAAUAGGCAACUAACAUAGAAUGGAAAGAUUCACACAACUAAUUUAAGCAAAACUACCUUGUUCAAAAUAUCUGGACUUAUUUUCUCCCUAAUGUUCCUAUGGCAACUCCCAUCAAGGGGAUAGGCUAAUUUGUGAAUUAGGCCGAACACAAUACAGGAAGUUGUGUCUACACUACAGAUUGAUUCAGGGUUAGCUCUCUUGGGAAUGUGUGACAAGGGCUGGGGAUGUCUAACAGAACUUGCAGCACCUCUCACCAGAUUGCGAUUUCCAGCAUUCUUUGCGGGAAAGCCACGACAGUUAAACUAGGACGAAACUGAUGCUUAUUUUUAGUGUACAUCCAACCUACAUUAAUUAACAAAAUAUUCUACCCUCCUGUGGACACAACUACAUAUUACAAUUGCUAUGGGAAACAUGAGUGUUACACAGCAAUCUCCUGUGGCAAACCUGUAGCAGGUGGUUGUCGUGUGUACACACAUACCCAGUGUGGGUCUACUAUGCAUCUUUAAACAUCCAUAUACACAUAUCUGGGAAACCUGGCCCAAGCGGUUUUAAAAUGUACACAUACACAGCUGAAUAAGUAUUUGUGGCAUGCUAGAUUUCACUUUCACACUUUCCUGUGGGAAACACUGGUGUAACACUUGUGCUUCCUGCAGGAAUAUGGCAUGCAGUGUUGCCAUGGAUACCUGAGAAAAUUCAGGUCUAGAAGUCCAAAAAUCCAGAUUCUGCUUGGUUUUCCUCCCAUAACUCUCAAGAUCAUGCCCUGAUUAGGAUAAUAAUGUGUCCCACAUUUCAGAGGACAUCCUCUAUUAGAAGGGCUGAGCACUCCAAGUCUGGAUGGGGCCUUGGAGUUGUUCAUCAACAGUCCAGAUGUGAGCCACAGACUGAGCAGGCACACAGGUCUUCUGGCCGCAGUCUUCCCCCCAAUGGCGAGGUGUAUUGUAUUUCUAUUUCAAGUAUAGCAGUUAUGUCAUAAUUUGCUUCUAUACAUAUACUAGCACAUAAACAUUUUAUGCAAAUCUGUGUCCUCUUUUGUCCUCUUCUUUGGUGAUGCUUUUUGGCAAUGAGCAAGUGGCCACCCUAGCACUGAUUCCACUGCUCACCUGCCAGGUUUUGCCACAGGGGGUCAAGUUUUGCAGUUGCUGUACCUGCCUGGGCUCUAAUCCUCCCCAACAGGCUAGCGUUUUUGAAAUCAAAAGUUGAGAAUCCUCCAAGAGAAGGGCAAAACUUUUAUUUUAAAGAUAAAAGACCAAAAUCCAACAAAGGCUUAGAUAUCUAGCUAGCUCUCUUUUUGGCUUAAGGAGAUUAGUUAAGACUGCUUUUUUUUUUUUAAGAAAAGGCUUUGAUGCAUAUCCUGGGAGAAUUCUAUUUUCUCUUCUGUGUUAACGUUAGGAGAAGGAUAUGUCUGUUUAAUAAUGGCUUUCAAAAGUUUAUUAUUUAUAUCAUAUGUAUUAGAAGUGAGGCUACCUUUGAACACAAUUAGACCACUAAAUGGAACAGGUUAAUGUUAACAUAUUGCAUUGAUACUUGAGCAACUUCACUGAAAUACCAUUCACACACUUAUAUGAAUGGCAUUUUGAAAGUACACUACAUGUGCAGAGGUCCGAUUUGGAUUGGGACUCAUGUAGCCUUGGUGGCACGGAAUGCGUUCUACCAACUUCGGUUGGUAGCCCAGCUACGUCCCUAUUUGAGCAAGGAGGACCUCACAUCAGUUGUACAUGCUCUGGUAACCUCGCGUUUGGACUACUGCAACGCGCUCUACGUGGGGCUACCUUUGAAGACAGUUCGGAAGCUACAGCUAGUGCAAAAUGCAGCGGCCAGAUUGCUAACUAGGACCAAGCGGUUCGAGCAUAUAACACCUGUUCUGGCCCGCCUGCACUGGCUCCCAAUAUGCUUCCGGGCCAGAUUCAAAGUGUUGGUAUUGACCUAUAAAGCCCUAUACGGCACGGGACCACGAUACCUGUUGGAACGCCUCUCCCGGUACGAACCAGCCCGUACACUACGGUCUUCUACGAAGGCCCUCCUCCGGGUCCCGACUCACAAGGAGGCCCGGAGGGUGCUGACAAGAUCUAGGGCCUUCUCAGUGGUGGCCCCCGAACUGUGGAAUAGUCUCCCUGAGGAGGUGUGCUUGGCGCCAACACUAUUAUCCUUUCGGCACCAAGUUAAAACCUUCCUCUUCUCCAAGGCAUUUUAAUCUUAAUUUAAGUUAAUUUUAUGUUGUAUUGAUUUUAGUUGUGUUGUUUUUAUAUGCUCUGUUACAUUGUAUUCUGCGAUGUUAUUGUAUUUGUGAUCUUAUUGUACUUUGUUCACCGCCCAGAGAACUAUUGCUAGUCGGGCGGUAUACAAGCUGAAUAAAUAAUAAAUAAUAAUAAUAAUUGUGGAGACAAAGGGUUAAACUUCUCCUACCCACACCCACAUCACCAGCCAUUCCUGAAAUUGCCAGUUGUGUGAAUGGUGUUGUGUGUGGUUUGCCCCUGCCUACUGGCUUAUUUAUGAGUGCCAUUCACAGUGCUGAUGCUUAUCUCAAUAGUCCUUUAUGACUUGUUAACUGGGUGCAGAAGGGAACGUCUACUGCCGUAUCAACCUGCCCAUGCACUGAGAUCAUCCCCGGAACAUCCUCCGGGUGCCCCUACCAUCUGAGGUGAGGCAGGUGGUGACUGGGGAUAGGCAUGUCUUCCCCAGUUAUGGUGUCCUACCUGUGGAAUCCUCUCCCCAGGGAUGCUUGCCUGGUACCCAUCUUAAUAUUUUUUAUUACCAUCACCAAGUGAAAACAUUUACAUUUUCCCAGGCCUUUAAACAUCUGAUAAGACUCUUGUGUCCUGCUGUCUUACAUACGUUAAAAAAAACCCACAUAUACUACCAGCUAAAACACACAUGUUGUUGCUUUUAUUGUUUGUAUUGCUUUUUUGUAAA